AGUCUGGCUGGAGCUGGACCGGCUGGUGGCGCCAGGCAGUGCCAAGCACCCCUGGCAGCCCUGCAGAGGGUUCUCAAAUCCAGAUUUCAUUCUGCAGUCCCGGCAGUGUUUUGACGACUGCCUCACUAAAGGAAGCUAAAAGCUGUGCUGAUGCCUCCCAGACGAGCCUCGUUGGAAGCACAGAACCUUCACGGCUCGGAGCCGCUGACACCGUGACAAAGGGAGCCCUGCUCAGGAGAAAGAGCAAAUGAGAGGCAGUUGCACUUUUUCAGGUGUCAGGCUGGAGGAAGCCACUUGAAGAUGAAUCUACCUCUGCCUUAGGAUUGCCUGAUGGCCUGUGCCAUUCCAUGUUAUAUCUACUGAUUUGCUCCCUGUAUUCAAAGAUUUUUUUUUUUUACUUAAUUCUCUCUUACUGACCCUGAGAGUGACCAUAUUUUUAACCAAUUUGGUCUUCAGCCUCAAAACUUAGCUCUUUCCUUUUGUGGUCCCCGAAUCCUAUCACGUGUCAUGGUGGCUGUGAAGAUGUUUGCCAAGCCUGCUGAGAAGGCUCAUCUGUGGCAUCCAAAAGCAGAGAUUUCAACUCUGGACCCCUGUGACCUGCCUUUGUAAUUAUGGAUACCCAGCACUGUUUUGAAAUAUCAGUGGACAUCCAGUUUUUAAAAGCCCUCAGAGCUUUGGGAGACACCCCUUUAUCUCUCUGGCAUGUCAGAGAACCGAUUCAACCCUUCUCAUCUCCUCCUCCUUCCCUCUCUUGGGCCAUCAGGAUGCGGCAGCAACUCACUGUGCAUGUUUUUACAGCUCUUCUCCAGUAAUGCUGCCAUUUCCACUGCAGACCACAGGAUAAAAGGACCGCUUCACCGUGGCCCAGGAUACCCUUUUAAGUAGGAGAGGGAGAAGAAAGUACUGCUUUGAUCUAAAAUUAAGCAAACGUUCUUCAAUAAACCCACCAUGAGACUUGACCACUAAUGGUGACCAGCAGUGGCUUUGUCAUGGCCCUGCCCACUGGGGGCAGGCACAUGCCGGGGCCAGGGCAGGCUGCCAGCUGGAAUAAAAACCUGACCAUUAGACCGAGCGUGGUGGCUCACGCCUGUAAUCCCAACACUUUGGGAGGCCGAGGCAGGCGGAUCACCUGAGGUCAGGAGUUUGAGACCAGCCUGGCCACCAUGAGCCAGAUCAAGGAAAGAGACAGGAAAGCAGAUGAUUUUACCUGCCUUCCCUAAGUGCACUCGGGAAGAGAAGGAUCAUCUCAAAAAGGGUUAAGGAAUGAGAUCAUGGAAAUCACUUACACACGCGGUCGCGGCUUGGACUUGGCUAGUGAGGCCGGCCUGCCCACUCUGCUUCCAUUCACUCAGACACAGCUUGGGCUUUUCCUCCAAGUGCUGGUAGCAGUCAUUUAUGAGGGAGGAAAGGAGCAGAAUAAACACACUUCUCAGC
ensembl:lncRNA SILC1 sciatic injury induced lincRNA upregulator of SOX11